GUUUAUUAUUAGGCAAGGAAUUUGUAAAUGGGGAAGACGCCAUAAAAGACAGAAAUGUCGCCACAUAAGAGAAAAUGUGACGUUUUAGGUUUCAUAGGAACCACAUUGCUACUAUUGACCAUCGUUACUUGUUCCAGUAUUGGUACAGCGAUGCCGACGUUUGGCCAAAAGCAGACAUCAAAUAGUCUCUGCAAUAAGGGAAGCAAUUGCCUGAUUUAUAGCCAUAUUAUGGAUAUACCAAGUGAUUCGACUGAAACGGACUACGCUACUUACAAAUUUGAACU